UGGGGAAUCUUGCACAAUGGGGGAAACCCUGAUGCAGCGACGCCGCGUGAGCGAUGAAGCCCUUCGGGGUGUAAAGCUCUUUCGGCAGGGACGAUAAUGACGGUACCUGAAGAAGAAGCUGCGGCUAACUACGUGCCAGCAGCCGCGGUAAUACGUAGGCAGCGAGCUGUGUUCGGAGUUACUGGGCGUAAAGCGUGCGCAGGCGGUGGUCUAAGUCUGGUGUGAAAUCUCCCGGCUCAACUGGGAGGGUGCGCCGGAAACUGGGCUGCUGAAGUGCGGGAAGGGCAAGCGGAAUUCCAGGUGUAGCGGUGAAAUGCGUAGAUAUCUGGAGGAACACCCGUGGUGCAGACAGCUUGCUGGACCGUAACUGACGCUGAGGCACGAAAGCGUGGGUAGCAAACAGG
rnacentral:rRNA from 1 species